rnacentral:rRNA from 1 species
GAUGAACGCUGGCGGCGUGCCUAACACAUGCAAGUCGAGCGGACAGAUGAGGCUUUUGCUCGUCUGCCGCGAGGGGCGGGCGGGUGAGUCACACGUGUAUACCCUACCUUUAAGACUGAGAUCACUUCGGGAAACCGGAUAUCACACCGGAUAAUAUCUUGAACCGGAUGGUUCAUUGGAGAUAGCCGGUUUUGCUGUCACUAAUAGGUGGUUCCGAGCUGCAUUAGUUAGUGGGUAGGGUCACGACGUUCCAAGGCGACGAUGCGUAGCCGACCUGACAGGGUGAUCGGCCACACUGGAACUGAGACACGGUCCAGACUCCUACGGGAGGCAGCAGUGGGGAAUCUUCCGCAAUGGGCGAAAGCCUGACGGAGCAACGCCGCGUGUGUGAUGAAGGUCUUCGGAUCGUAAAGCACUGUUAUUAGGGAAGAACAGAUGUAAGAUAAAACAUGGCCGUCUUGACGGUACCUAAUCAAAAAGCAACGGCUAACUACGUG